rnacentral:rRNA from 1 species
GAUGAACGCUGGCGGCGUGCCUAAUACAUGCAAGUCGAGCGAAUGGAUUAAGAGCUUGCUCUUAUGAAGUUAGCGGCGGACGGGUGAGUAACACGUGGGUAACCUGCCCAUAAGACUGGGGUAACUCCGGGAAACCGGGGCUAAUACCGGAUAACAUUUUGAACCGCAUGGUUCGAAAUUGAAAGGCGGCUUCGGCUGUCGCUUAUGGAUGGACCCGCGUCGCAUUAGCUAGUUGGUGAGGUAACGGCUCACCAAGGCAACGAUGCGUAGCCGACCUGAGAGGAUGAUCGGCAACACUGGGACUGAGACACGGCCCAGACGCCUACGGGAGGCAGCAGUAGGGAAUCUUCCGCAAUGGACGAAAGUCUGACGGAGCAACGCCGCGUGAGUGAUGAAGGCUUUCGGGUCGUAAAACACUGUCGUUAGGGAAGAACAAGUGCUAGUUGAAUAAGCUGGCACCUUGACGGUACCUAACCAGAAAGCCACGGCUAACUACGUGCCAGCCGCCGCAGUAA